ensembl:misc_RNA predicted gene, 23259
GAAUGAGUGUGUGACCUGGCCGUGACACAUGCCUCUCCUCUAAUCACCAGGCUUGAUUACAUUGAUCUGGCUUGCUGGGCAGGUGUCCCCUUUCUCCCUGAUACUUUUCCAUUUUCAUCCUUUCUGAGGCUAUGUGUUUUGCUGAAGAGGAGGAUCUGUCCUGAUGGAGGAGAACCAGCCUUCAAGUCUGUGAGAGCAGUGUGCUCCUUAGCGAGGACUUCUCUCUAAGCUCAGAGUCUGAAGGAACAGGAGCUGGUGUGAAGCAGGCGCUGAAGAAUCCACCAAACCAGAUGUCCUGCCUCU